GUGAAACUGCGAAUGGCUCAUUAAAUCAGUUAUAGUUUAUUUGAUGGUUUUUGCUACAUGGAUAACUGUGGUAAUUCUAGAGCUAAUACAUGCAUUCAAGCCCCGACUUCUGGAAGGGGUGUAUUUAUUAGAUAAAAAUCAACUUUGUUGGUGAAUCAUAAUAACUUCUCGGACCGCAUGGCCUCGUGCUGGCGGUGCUUCAUUCAAAUAUCUGCCCUAUCAACUGUCGAUGGUAGGAUAGAGGCCUACCAUGGUUGCAACGGGUAACGGGG
rnacentral:rRNA from 1 species